UACGUAGGUGGCAAGCGUUGUCCGGAUUUACUGGGCGUAAAGAGCGCGCAGGCGGUCGUUCAAGUCGCGUGUGAAAGCCCCCGGCUCAACUGGGGAGGGUCACGCGAUACUGAUCGACUCGAAGGCAGGAGAGGGUAGUGGAAUUCCCGGUGUAGUGGUGAAAUGCGUAGAUAUCGGGAGGAACACCGGUGGCGAAGGCGGCCAACUGGACGGUGACUGACACUGAGACGCGAAAGCGUGGGGAGCAAACAGG
rnacentral:rRNA from 1 species